AGAAGUCUUCAGUAUACCCCUGUGCUAAGAAUAGGCCUGGACACUGCUGAGGAGGACAAAUUGGAAAUGCUGCUGGAAACACGCAGCCUUUUUAAAGAAGGUGGACACUGGUGGGCACGUCUUAGAACUGCAUGGUCAGAUGAAACCUGUAUGGAGGUCCUGCUGAUGCAGCGGUGGCUGUUAAUAGCCCUCCUGUUGCCACAGCAGAUCAACUAAUUGACUACUCGGCAGUUGGUGUAGAGAAAAAGACCUUGGAGCAGCGCGCCUAAUUAUACUUUGUGUGACAGCUAUCCAUUGCCGCCCUCCCUGGGUCCAGGAAGGCCCUGGGCCGUUCCUGCUGUGUCUCCUGGCCUAGGUCCAGCCACACUCAUCUUCCCAUUAGCUAAUUAUCAAAACAAGUGCUGGCGAGGUCACUUCAUCUGUCCCUCAUCACCUCCCGAGUAUUCGGAAACCCCUAGCACCACCUCUUAAUCAACCCAUUGUGUUGACAUGCAGUAGUCACAGCUGUAAUAGGCACACUUUGGGAUAGCAGAAAAGAUUGACCUGAGCAGGAUGACUUUACACCAUAAGAGUAUUUAUUCCUGGUUUUUCACUCUUCCUCACAAGUGCAGAUGGUGUUGUACAGUUUGCACAAGUCAUUUUUCAAUCAUAUCACACACCUGGACAAUAAAUUGACAGUAAAAAUUGUGUUCAAUGUUG